AUGAACGCUAGCGGCAGGCUUAACACAUGCAAGUCGAGGGGUAUAGUAGCAAUACUAGAGACCGGCGCACGGGUGCGUAACGCGUAUGCAAUCACCUUUGCAGAGGGAUAGCCCAGAGAAAUUUGGAUUAAUACCUCAUAGUAUAGCGACAUCGCAUGAUGAUGCUAUUAAAGUCACAACGGCAAAAGAUGAGCAUGCGUCCCAUUAGCUAGUUGGUAAGGUAACGGCUUACCAAGGCAACGAUGGGUAGGGGUCCUGAGAGGGAGAUCCCCCACACUGGUACUGAGACACGGACCAGACUCCUACGGGAGGCAGCAGUGAGGAAUAUUGGACAAUGGGCGCAAGCCUGAUCCAGCCAUGCCGCGUGCAGGAUGACGGUCCUAUGGAUUGUAAACUGCUUUUGUACAGGAAGAAACACUGGUUCGUGAACCAGCUUGACGGUACUGUAAGAAUAAGGAUCGGCUAACUCCGUG
rnacentral:rRNA from 1 species